rnacentral:rRNA from 1 species
CCCUUAGAUGUCCGGGGCCGCACGCGCGCUACACUGAAGGAAUCAGCGUGGCUUUCUCCCUGACCCGAAAGGGUUGGGAAACCCGUUGAAUCUCCUUCGUGAUAGGGAUUGGGGCUUGAAAUUGUUCCCCAUGAACGAGGAAUUCCCAGUAAGCGCGAGUCAUAAGCUCGCGUUGAUUACGUCCCUGCCCGUUGUACACACCGCCCGUCGCUACUACCGAUUGAACGGUUUAGUGAGGGCCUCGGAUUGGUCUCGGCCCGCUCUUUACCGGGCGGCGCCGUUGGUCGAGAAGACGCUCGAACUUGAUCGUUUAGAGGAAGUAAAAGUCGUAACA